ACCGGCCUCCGCCGCGGGCUCUGCCCGCUCGCCUGCUCGCCUGGUGGGGGAGAGGGGAGCGGGGCCGACACAGGACUGCAGUUGACAGCAGAUAACUGAAAGCUCGGAAAGCGAAACCGUGGAUAAGCAGGGGAACUGUGGCAUCCCAUUUAAAAUUGCUUCUGAAGAGAAGCAUGAGGUUACAUCUGUAAUCUCCCUGCAGCAGAGUCAACUGCAUAAGAAACCAAAAGACACACCUGCUCCAUGCCAGCCUAAGCCACCACAUAAAAAGUCAGACCAUCUGCUGGAAGAACCACAUGGAGAGGCCCUGAGUCAACAUGGAGAGGAAGAAGGACUUGACUGAAUCCAGCCUUCCAGCUGUCCCUACCAAGGUGCCAGGCAUGAGAAUGAAGCUGUCUUGAACUCUGAAGACCAGCUUAGCCACCAGAGGCUGUCUCAGCAGGAAGGAGUUGGAGUUGGAGAAAAAGGAGAAUUAAGAAUCUAUCUGGCGAUGUGGAUUAAAUAAACAACAAAUUGGCAGAUUGUUUUUAAAAGUUUCUGUGGGCCUCAAACAACACUUUCUGCAUUUUCCCCUCUCGCCC
rnacentral:lncRNA from 10 species